rnacentral:rRNA from 1 species
CUUAGAGUUUGCUCCUGGCUCAGAACGUACGCUGGCGGCACGCCUAACACAUGCAAGUCGAACGAAGUAGCAAUACUUAGUGGCAGACGGGUGAGUAACAUGUAGGUAUCUGCCCUUUGGCCUGGAAUAACACGAGGAAACUUGUGCUAAUACCGGAUAAGUCUUUACAGAGAAAGCUUUAUGCACCAUUGGAUGAGCCUGCACUUGAUUAGUUUGUUGGUGGGGUAAUGGCCUACCAAGACUGUGAUCAAUAGCUGAUUUGAGAGGAUGAUCAGCCACAUUGGGACUGAGACACGGCCCAAACUCCUACGGGAGGCAGCAGUGGGGAAUCUUGCACAAUGGAGGAAACUCUGAUGCAGCGAUGCCGCGUGAGUGAAGAAGGCCUUUGGGUUGUAAAGCUCUUUCGUCGGGGAAGAAAAUGACUGUACCCGAAUAAGAAGGUCCGGCUAACUUCGUGCCAGCAGCCGCGGUAAUACGAAGGGACCUAGCGUAGUUCGGAAUUACUGGGCUUAAAGAGUUCGUAGGUGGUUGAAAAAGUUAGUGGUGAAAUCCCAGAGCUUAACUCUGGAACUGCCAUUAAAACUUUUCAGCUAGAGUAUGAUAGAGGAAAGCAGAAUUUCUAGUGUAGAGGUGAAAUUCGUAGAUAUUAGAAAAGAAUACCAAUUGCGAAGGCAGCUUUCUGGAUCAUUACUGACACUGAGGAACGAAAGCAUGGGUAGCGAAGAGGAUUAGAUACCCUCGUAGUCCAUGCCGUAAACGAUGUGUGUUAGACGUUGGAAAUUUAUUUUCAGUGUCGCAGCGAAAGCGAUAAACACACCGCCUGGGGAGUACGACCGCAAGGUUAAAACUCAAAUGAAUUGACGGGGACCCGCACAAGUAGUGGAGCAUGUGGUUUAAUUCGAAGAUACGCGCAGAACCUUACCAACACUUGACAUGUUCGUCGCGACUCUAAGAGAUUAGAGUUUUCGGUUCGGCCGGACGAAACACAGGUGCUGCAUGGCUGUCGUCAGCUCGUGUCGUGAGAUGUUGGGUUAAGUCCCGCAACGAGCGCAACCCUCACUUUUAGUUGCCAUCAUUAAGUUGGGCACUCUGAAAGAACUGCCAGUGAUAAGCUGGAGGAAGGUGGGGAUGACGUCAAGUCCUCAUGGCCCUUACGUGUUGGGCUACACACGUGCUACAAUGGUAUCUACAACAGGAAGCAAGACUGCGAAGUUAAGCAAAUCCCUAAAAGAUACCUCAGUUCGGAUUGCACUCUGCAACUCGAGUGCAUGAAGCUGGAAUUACUAGUAAUCGUGGAUCAGCGUGCCACGGUGAAUGCGUUCCCGGGUCUUGUACUCACCGCCCGU